GGAAAUCUAGGGGAAAGGAGGCAGUUAACCAGAUUGCAGCUCUGCCUUCCGACUGGGUAGGCCAACGUCGGACUCAGCGUCUUCCCUGAGCAGAAGGCCAAAGUUACAGCCUCUGAGCAAGAAUAUCAACAGCCGCAGGCGUUGACCAUUCAAACCUUCCGCCCGCCCAGUAACCUAUCCCCGCUCGCCUCUAAGCUGCGUCAGCCAAUCUCCGCGCGCGCGCCCAGGGCCUCAUGGCCUAUCGUUGGGCUCGCAGAUCACCUGGGGGCGUGUGCUUGCUCUGGAAAUGAACCUGCUUCCCCAGAAAGGAGAUGUAUGAAGAUUCUUUGUCCUCUAGGAUACAGACAGUGAGUGUGGGAGUUAGCACAGAACCUUGCUAUGCCAGGUGGGAAGUAGAGACAAAGUUAUUCUCUAUCGGUGGCAAAAGCAGAUAGAUUAUGGCAAGUGCACACCUGGCUACCAGUGCUUUCUGCACCAGGUCCUCAAGGCACAGUGACAGCCUGGGCUUCACCCUGAAACACCAAACAAGAACAGGAGGUACAGCCAUCACUCCUGGGAUGCCCAGAUCAGGCAGUGGAGAAGAGCCCUGCAUUCCUGGGAUCCUCCCAGCCAGCCUCUGCAGGGCAGAGGGGCUGAGGGGUGUGUUUUCUAUUCCUGGUUCUUUUUAUGACUGGCAGGGAAUGAAGAGUCUUAGAACCAAUGGAUUCCACUCCUUUGGAUGACCUCCUGGAUGACUGUGGCUCCAGGCCCUGGAGCCCUCAGAAUAUGGAUGGAGAGUAUCCUUUGCUGAAACCCAUUGGAGCAGGGUCACAGAUGGGGUUUGGCCCAUGAGGGCACAAUUAAGAUGCAGUUCAAAGCAGUGGCUCAAGAACAAAAGACUAAAAAGGGGGCAGCAGGGAAAGAGCAGGACAUGAGUAAAAAAUCCUUGGGAACUAAAAGUGGAAUAAGGAGAUUUAAUUAUGGGUAGGAGUGUUGGGCUGCACUGGGAGGCCAUUUUAUAGAUGAUGAAAGGGGAUGUAACCUUCCUUUGAAAUGAGGCCUGAAACUUGACUUGCAGGGGUUUUUUUUGUUUUUUUGUUUUGUUUUGUUUUGGGUCUCAGUUUCUUUCAAUAUUUUGCAAAUGAGCCAAUGCCUACUUUUAACUCAACCAUUUAAUUCAUAAUAAUUAAAUUAUUAAUUUAAUUAAUAAAAAAAGGUGAACAGCUUAGUGGUGAAAAGCAAGGGCUUUUAGACUGCUUUUUGAGAGUACCUUUGCCUUCCAUGUGGGCAGUCACUUAACUUCUUGGGCUGUUUCAUUUGUCAAAGAGAAGGUUUUGUUUCAUUUGAUGAUUGUAAGAAAAAAUGAGAAUAUAUAUCAAAGUAUGUAGGUCAAGUGUGGUGGUUCACACCUGGAAUCCCAGCACUUCGUUUUUUGUUCAUUUGUUUUUUUUUUUUUUUUGAGACAGAGUCUCAUUCUGUUGCCCAGGCUGGAGUGCAGUGGCACAAUCUCGGCUCACUGCAAUCUCUGCCUCCCCGGUUCAAGCGAUUCUCCUGCCUCAGCCUCCCGAGUAGCUGGGAUUACAGAUGGGUGCCACAAUGCCCAGCUAAUUUUUGUAUUUUUUAGUAGAGACGGGGUUUCACCAUGUUGCCAGGCUGGUCUCGAACUCCUGACCUCAGGUGAUCCGUCUGCCUCAGCCUCCCAAAGUGCUAGGAUUACAGGUGUGAGACACCACGCCAAUCCCAGCACUUUGUGAGGCCAAGAUCGGAAGAUUGUUUGAGGCCAGGAGUUUGAGACUACCCUGGGCAACAUAGCAAGACGCCUCUCUCUACAAAAAUAGAAAUAAAUAUGCUGGGCAUGGUGGCACACCCCUGUAGUUCUAGCUAUUCAGGAGGCUGAGAUGGAAAGGAUUGCUUGAGCCCAGAAGUUCAAGGCUGCAGUGAGCUAUGAUCGCCUCACUGCACUCCAGCCUGAGCAACAGCAAGACCCUGUUUUUACAAAAAAAAAAAAAAAAAAAAAAAAAAAAAAUGUAGCAUGGUGUCUGGUACAUAAGAGCAAUUAUUGGAAACCAUGUGUCCCCUACUUCAUGGCCCCUAACUCUGCUCCUUUUGCCAAGGGGAAAUAGGCAGUGCAAGGUAAAUCUCUCCACCCCUAUUUUCUCAGUUAGUACUGUACCUCAUUUUUCCUCUACUCUUUUUCAGUUUGUAGACUUGGUGGCUCCUGCCUCCUCCCCUCCCUGGCUCAGUGAGGAUGACCCCCGCCACUGGCUCUACUUUCCAGCUGAUCACAGCUAUUUACCUAUCCCAGUCUUGAGUAAGGCGCAAAAUAUUUACAGAAAACAGAUGUCUUUCAGAGGACUUGCUGCUAAGUGUAAUAGUGAAGAUUACUUGCAUUACUGCUACUUUCCAAUCAAUUAAAAAAAAGAAAUAGAAAACUUUGUAUUACAAAGAGAUCACAACACGAA